AGCCCCGUACACAAAAAUGCACAUGCUGUGAGCUCGAUGAGUAGGGCGGGACACGUGGUAUCCUGUCUGAAUAUGGGGGGACCAUCCUCCAAGGCUAAAUACUCCUGACUGACCGAUAGUGAACCAGUACCGUGAGGGAAAGGCGAAAAGAACCCCGGCGAGGGGAGUGAAAAAGAACCUGAAACCGUGUACGUACAAGCAGUGGGAGCACGCUUAGGCGUGUGACUGCGUACCUUUUGUAUAAUGGGUCAGCGACUUAUAUUCUGUAGCAAGGUUAACCGAAUAGGGGAGCCGAAGGGAAACCGAGUCUUAACUGGGCGUUAAGUUGCAGGGUAUAGACCCGAAACCCGGUGAUCUAGCCAUGGGCAGGUUGAAGGUUGGGUAACACUAACUGGAGGACCGAACCGACUAAUGUUGAAAAAUUAGCGGAUGACUUGUGGCUGGGGGUGAAAGGCCAAUCAAACCGGGAGAUAGCUGGUUCUCCCCGAAAGCUAUUUAGGUAGCGCCUCGUGAAUUCAUCUCCGGGGGUAGAGCACUGUUUCGGCAAGGGGGUCAUCCCGACUUACCAACCCGAUGCAAACUGCGAAUACCGGAGAAUGUUAUCACGGGAGACACACGGCGGGUGCUAACGUCCGUCGUGAAGAGGGAAACAACCCAGACCGCCAGCUAAGGUCCCAAAGUCAUGGUUAAGUGGGAAACGAUGUGGGAAGGCCCAGACAGCCAGGAUGUUGGCUUAGAAGCAGCCAUCAUUUAAAGAAAGCGUAAUAGCUCACUGGUCGAGUCGGCCUGCGCGGAAGAUGUAACGGGGCUAAACCAUGCACCGAAGCUGCGGCAGCGACACUGUGUGUUGUUGGGUAGGGGAGCGUUCUGUAAGCCUGUGAAGGUGUGCUGUGAGGCAUGCUGGAGGUAUCAGAAGUGCGAAUGCUGACAUAAGUAACGAUAAAGCGGGUGAAAAGCCCGCUCGCCGGAAGACCAAGGGUUCCUGUCCAACGUUAAUCGGGGCAGGGUGAGUCGACCCCUAAGGCGAGGCCGAAAGGCGUAGUCGAUGGGAAACAGGUUAAUAUUCCUGUACUUGGUGUUACUGCGAAGGGGGGACGGAGAAGGCUAUGUUGGCCGGGCGACGGUUGUCCCGGUUUAAGCGUGUAGGCUGGUUUUCCAGGCAAAUCCGGAAAAUCAAGGCUGAGGCGUGAUGACGAGGCACUACGGUGCUGAAGCAACAAAUGCCCUGCUUCCAGGAAAAGCCUCUAAGCAUCAGGUAACAUCAAAUCGUACCCCAAACCGACACAGGUGGUCAGGUAGAGAAUACCAAGGCGCUUGAGAGAACUCGGGUGAAGGAACUAGGCAAAAUGGUGCCGUAACUUCGGGAGAAGGCACGCUGAUAUGUAGGUGAAGUCCCUCGCGGAUGGAGCUGAAAUCAGUCGAAGAUACCAGCUGGCUGCAACUGUUUAUUAAAAACACAGCACUGUGCAAACACGAAAGUGGACGUAUACGGUGUGACGCCUGCCCGGUGCCGGAAGGUUAAUUGAUGGGGUUAGCCGCAAGGCGAAGCUCUUGAUCGAAGCCCCGGUAAACGGCGGCCGUAACUAUAACGGUCCUAAGGUAGCGAAAUUCCUUGUCGGGUAAGUUCCGACCUGCACGAAUGGCGUAAUGAUGGCCAGGCUGUCUCCACCCGAGACUCAGUGAAAUUGAACUCGCUGUGAAGAUGCAGUGUACCCGCGGCAAGACGGAAAGACCCCGUGAACCUUUACUAUAGCUUGACACUGAACAUUGAGCCUUGAUGUGUAGGAUAGGUGGGAGGCUUUGAAGUGUGGACGCCAGUCUGCAUGGAGCCGACCUUGAAAUACCACCCUU
rnacentral:rRNA from 1 species